AAUCCGUGGUGUGGACAGUCUCGCUGGAAGAACUUGAAUCUGAUCCACGCAUCUUUGAAAGACUCUCCAGUCUCCUGUGCGAAUGUGGCGAUUUUGCUCCCCCAAGUCU
rfam:Brassica napus, WGS project CCCW01000000 data, contig: 24627